GGGUACUUGUNCCUGGUGGCGAGCGGCGGACGGGUGAGUAAUGCCUAGGAAUCUGCCUGGUAGUGGGGGAUAACGCUCGGAAACGGACGCUAAUACCGCAUACGUCCUACGGGAGAAAGCAGGGGACCUUCGGGCCUUGCGCUAUCAGAUGAGCCUAGGUCGGAUUAGCUAGUUGGUGAGGUAAUGGCUCACCAAGGCGACGAUCCGUAACUGGUCUGAGAGGAUGAUCAGUCACACUGGAACUGAGACACGGUCCAGACUCCUACGGGAGGCAGCAGUGGGGAAUAUUGGACAAUGGGCGAAAGCCUGAUCCAGCCAUGCCGCGUGUGUGAAGAAGGUCUUCGGAUUGUAAAGCACUUUAAGUUGGGAGGAAGGGCAUUUACCUAAUACGU
rnacentral:rRNA from 1 species